ensembl:snRNA
UAAAAGGGUGUCUGUCAUUAAGUGGUAAUGCAGGGCAUUUCUACUGUUCUACAUGAAGAAUCAACAUCAAGAGAUUUUAGAAGCAUAAUUUUUGUUACCUGGGCUGCUAGUGAUCAUUGGUCCCAGCGCCCUA